rnacentral:other from 1 species
CGGUCGCUGCCCGGUUCGUUGGCCUCACACAAUCCCUGGGGCUAUAAGUCUAUCUCGGGAGCUGUCCCUGUCGGGCCCGUGGGCCCAUUACACGGCACCCACCUGUACAAGCAGGUCACAGAGGACUGAUCGCGCUGACGGCCAUGGCGGCACCGCC